GUGCCAGCAGCCGCGGUAAUACGUAGGUGGCAAGCGUUGUCCGGAUUUAUUGGGCGUAAAGCGAGCGCAGGCGGUUUCUUAAGUCUGAUGUGAAAGCCUUCGGCUCAACCGAAGAAGUGCAUCGGAAACUGGGAAACUUGAGUGCAGAAGAGGACAGUGGAACUCCAUGUGUAGCGGUGAAAUGCGUAGAUAUAUGGAAGAACACCAGUGGCGAAGGCGGCUGUCUGGCCUGUAACUGACGCUGAGGCUCGAAAGCAUGGGUAGCAAACAGGAUUAGAUACCCUGGUAGUCCAUGCCGUAAACGAUGAGUGCUAGGUGUUGGAGGGUUUCCGCCCUUCAGUGCCGCAGCUAACGCAUUAAGCACUCCGCCUGGGGAGUACGACCGCAAGGUUGAAACUCAAAGGAAUUGACGGGGGCCCGCACAAGCGGUGGAGCAUGUGGUUUAAUUCGAAGCAACGCGAAGAACCUUACCAGGUCUUGACAUCCUUUGACCACUCUAGAGAUAGAGCUUUCCCUUCGGGGACAAAGUGACAGGUGGUGCAUGGUUGUCGUCAGCUCGUGUCGUGAGAUGUUGGGUUAAGUCCCGCAACGAGCGCAACCCUUAUUACUAGUUGCCAGCAUUUAGUUGGGCACUCUAGUGAGACUGCCGGUGACAAACCGGAGGAAGGUGGGGACGACGUCAAAUCAUCAUGCCCCUUAUGACCUGGGCUACACACGUGCUACAAUGGAUGGUACAACGAGUUGCGAGACCGCGAGGUUUAGCUAAUCUCUUAAAACCAUUCUCAGUUCGGAUUGUAGGCUGCAACUCGCCUACAUGAAGCCGGAAUCGCUAGUAAUCGCGGAUCAGCAUGCCGCGGUGAAUACGUUCCCGGGCCUUGUACACACCGCCCGU
rnacentral:rRNA from 1 species